rnacentral:lncRNA from 1 species
AGAUUGGACACUAAAUGUUUCAGGCAACUCAGCUGGGCACUUACACUAAAGCAUUGCCUAAAAGGGCUCUUUCUGUGAAAUCCAAAGGCUGCUGGCAAUCCUAUCCUCUUUGGUCAUAUUUUUUCCAAGGUUCUUGUUCUUCUGAUUUUAUUGUCAGUAACCACUGAAGAAAAAGCAAGGUCUAAUCAGAACCCAGGGGAAGAAUGCAUGUUUCUUCAGAGGAAGUAUCUAGAAUUUCCCUUAGGAACUUGACAUUCAUGUGUUGCCUGCUCAUUUCCGCGUGACUGCCACUGCCACCACCCCAGGACUUUGGACUUGGUAAUUUAGGAAUCCUUUGAUCCCUUUGCUUAAUGUUUUCUGGACUCAAGUACUUCUUUCAUCAGAUGGUUUUAUGUGUUAGUAGCACUUCAGCUCAGUAGACUUUUAAAGGCCAGCCCAGGAACCUAAUCGCUAUUUGCAAUACUGAUCCUAUGGAAAACUGUGAUAUACACAGAGAAGCAAACAGGCAGCAACAACAACGUCUCCGUACCUCAUCUCCACGCUCAGACUCUACCCCUGAUCCGAUGGAAGGCGCUGGACACCCAGCAGCAGAUAUUGAUUUCCAUCUCAAGCUGAUAAUCUCAUGGCCACAAGCUUCCAGACCCCAGAUGUCACCUCUUCACUCAACAUUACCCAAAGCAGGAAGAGAAGGAGGGCAAACGGGCUUUCUCUCCAGGUGGCUCUGUCUUCACUCAGAGAGGAAUAUCUUGUCGAGAAGCUCCUCAAAGAUCCCCCGACUCACCCAAAACUGCCCCUAUACUAAACGUGCAAAGGAGAAUGGGAUUGCUAUGGUUGAAUGAAGCCAACAAGGAUCCAGUCGCUUGGGGCUCCACAGCACAUUGCUACCUGAACAAAAAUCAGGGACUCUGGCAAGGAAGAACAAGGAAUGGCUGUUAGAUAGGAAAGGAAGUGUCUGCCACAGAAGUCUUAACUCUGCCCAGACCACAUGAGGCUUAAAGACGUCUGCCCUCAGAGAAAAUGUGGCAUUCUGCAAGGAGGAUGGAGGAUGUACUCAAAUUUUUUAAUGCAAUGUAGCCUUCUUAUCCACUAGAAACUUCUGGAAUUCAGAAAGGACCAGGAGGCAGAUCUCUCAUUCAUUACCUCCUGAGCAGAUUUUUUAACAUCAUAAGCCUCCUUUUCCAUGUUUGUAAAAGGAGCUUAUAACAGGACUUUCCUCAAGGGUGUGUUAUGAGAAUUUUAAAAGUUAAUAGAAAGCACUUAGAACAGGUCUUCACCUGUGGCAAGCCCCAAAUAAAUCUUACCUCACUAUUAUUGCUCAGUGGUUAUGGGAAAUAAUUUUGAGUUUCUACAUAACCCGGGGCCACUGUUAGAAAAUCAUAAGAGCUUGAGAAUUUUGAGAUACCUAGGGCAGUUUCUGGGGCUGGUUUCAUAGAAACGCACAAUAAGGAAAGACUGAACAUGAAGAGAGAAAUUUUACGGGCUACACGUGUGACUUCUGACAGAAGAAGCUCAAAGCACUCACUCUGAACCAACAGAGACUUAGUGGACCCAAAUCUGUCUCAGAAUCCAGCAAAAUCCAGGAAGCUAGCAGUGUGAAGUUACGGACCCUUACACAGUCUUGCUUUCUCUAAGUCACUUCAGGGGCCAAUCUGAAGAAGUUCCAGUAAGAACUGUGGAGCACCAGAGCUUUGAUCUGCCCUCAGAGGUGGUGCUGACGUUGUGACGCUGUGCUGUCUCCUUGCCACGGAGCUAUUCCAGGAAGCAAGAGACUUUGAAACGACCCAGACGGCCUUUCAAGAGCUGUUGACAGGAGCAGGUGGGAGUCACCACAGCCAGCAGAAAAUGCCGCUGGGAGUCACUGCAAGCAACAAUAUAAAGAGGAAUGGCCACCAGGAACUGGAGCCCUGGCAUCUCCUGUCACUGCGGACCGUGAUCCACGAAAGCUGGCACCAUCAAUAACAAUCUCUAGAAGACAGUGCUAGAAACUGCCGAUGGAGUGGCUCCUCAUCAUUCAAAGCAGCAGACCCUAGGUCAAAACUGGGAGAUCUUACUGCUGGGAAGUCCUGGCCCUCCUCACCAUCGGUUCAAUGGAUCAAAGUGCUGGUCAUUGAAUAGCAAACUUUAGAGGGAACAACACGGUCUUGGAGUUAAAAGACCUGGACUUGAGUUCUGGAUUUUCCAUUCUGUGACCUUGGGUAAGUCCCUAAUCCUCUGAGCUUCCAAGGAUUUAAUGAGCUAAUAUAGAUGAAACUGCUUUAUAACAUAGAGAGUGGCAGGAAAAUCAGAAACAUUGUGAUCAUUAUUUUUUUAAGUAUAGUCCUCAAUGAAGAGCAAAAUUAACAAUUUUGCACAAGAGGAUCUGAAGGGAAUAUAGCCCCAGAAAAUCUGAGGCGGGGCCCAAGCCAGUUUUAGAAACCAGUAACAGGAACCUGGCUAAAAGGAUGAGGUUUGGAGAAGGAGAGUCUCACUAAAGAACGGGAUCAGAUUCAACUUUGCAUUCUCAGGUCCUCGGGCCUCUGUGUGGAUGUGGUACAUGUUUUCAGUUGCUUAAUGUGCUUGAAAUCCCAUUUUGUUUCAAACAAAAAGCCACCUGAAAGUUCCCUGAAGAGGGUUUUUUUUAAGGAAAAUUUCAGCAUGACAUGUCUGUGGUUGAUCUUCUGUCAGUGUAGUCCCUUCCAAAGUUCCUUGAGCAAACCAGAAGGCAGCAAUACUUCAGCAGUUGGGAGAGAAGGACGCCUUACAAGAUGCCAUCACAGCUGCUGUGUUGCGCCAGGCCACCCUCCGGAUACGUGCAGACGGGUGCUCUCUGCGCACCCCCGGUCUCGAGGAUUUCCUGCACAGAGCAGAGCGCUCCCUCCCCGCCUCCCUCGCCUUGGGCACUGUCUUCUGUUUUGGCAAUGAGCGGUGCUCCUGACAGACUCCAUCUGCCGAUCCACUUUGAGUUUCCACUGCACUGACAUCUGGGAUUCAAAACUAUUCAAUCUACUGUCAACAGAGCCUUCCUUUAAAAAAGAAAAAAACAAUCAAGAAGUGAAAGAAUCCAAACACUAUCUAAAAUGAAACAGAGAGCAUUCCUUUUGUCUUGUUUUUUAAAUAGAGCUCCCCGCCUCCAAAUGUUUAUUCUAGGAUUAGGAAGCAUGUUGUAGAAAGGGUGUUAUGAUCACCCUCUAAAAAUCUUGUUUUUGUAAUACUGAAUUUACCAUAUGAUAUUAAUUUGGGGAAAGAAAAAAAACAGGAAAGCAGCUCCAGCACAAAGAGUUCUGCAAUGCAGUGCUGUGGAGUUUCAGUACUAUGGCAAGAGGAAGAGCUCGAGAACUGAUAAUGUCUAUUAACGUUUUCAGGCACAAAAGUGAUGAAAUUGUUUUGUUCGCGUCCACAUUGACUCUUGCCUAGACUACUGCAAUAGAUUGAAUUGGUACCCUACUUCCCAAUUUUCUCCUCCUCUGAUUCAGUCUCCAGAAACCAUGUUCCUUAAUCCCAAAUCCGAUUACACCCUGGCUCUGGCCAGAAUGGUUUAGUUGACACCCAUCACCUACAGAACUAGGGACUGUCCCCAACCUUGGUAUCCAAGACCCCCUCAGUCAUUCUCUACAGAGGUGAUGCUGCCUCCCCCCCGCAGGGGGUAUCUGAAAGUGUUCGGGGGAUUCUUUCCAGUGGUCAAAAUGACACGGAGCACCGCUGGAUUUUAGAACGCUGGGAUCAGGGCUAUACGUUCCUUGAGAUGACCAAAAACCAUCCACCCCGAAAUACAAAUAACGUACCCAUGGAGAAACUCUGAGCCUAACUUUUCAACUUUUCCUAACUUUAUUUUCUACUCCUUCCUCUGUCAUAUCCAACAGCCCAGCCACCUUGACUAGUCCCACUUCUAAUCUCAAUGGCUGUGCUCACUCUGUUCUCUAGGUCUGAAAUGUCCUUCCCAACUCACUGAUCUUUGCCGCCUUCAAUCCCUCAACACCCAGAAUAAACUAUUCCUAUCCUCCGAUCAGCAUUAACUUUUCCCACUUCCGUGGUCCCACAUCAUUUUGCUUAUACCGCUGCUUUCACGUUUAUUGUAUUCUGCUUUCUAUUAUUGCCAUUUAUAUUCAUCUUACCUCCACUCCCAAAUAAUAUGUUCCUUGGGGCCAGGAUCCUCCUUCUGCAGCUUUAUAUUCCUCAAACACUGAGUCCUCACUUCGUGCCUGGUACUUAGUAGAUUGGUUCAAUUUAAUUGAAUUAAACUCAUUAUUUUUCAAUAUUUUUUCUAUCAAAUAUAUGUUGGGACAUUCUAAAUUUUUUUAAACUCCUAGUGGAUUUAAUAUGUAGUCUUAUUAGUUCUUCACGGGCAAAAACCUGUUUGAGUAAAUUGAAAAAAUGGUUGGUUUCCUGCCCCUAUAACAUAGACAGGGUUAAAUCCUUUCAAAAGAAACAACCAAAAGGAGUUAGUCUUCCAAAAGUCACAAGGGAAACGAAAAUGUAAUUUUUUGGUGUUACCCAGCGAGAUGUUUGUGUACACAUAUCUCCCCAAAUGACUAAACUUUACAAAUUUCACUUGACUUUAACUCAACUUUCCAAAAAAAAUUUUUUUUUAAGUCACCUUUGGAUUGGGAUGAAACGUGGAAAGUUUCAACUCAAAGUAAGAUUUUUUUUUUUUUCCUAGGAAGCUGUGAGCAAAUGAAAACAGGGUUUGGCGGGAGCAUUUUGCCACCUCUACCAUAGGACGGGUCACUGCCGACAGCAUCCUUGUUGAUGCGACGUUUGGCAAAGGGCCUACUGCAGAAAUACAGUCUGCGACUUUAUUUUUCUGGAGAUUUCAUCCAUGAAGACUUUCUUUUCCAGUUACAAAGUUCUCCCAAGAGGGACAGAGCUGCUUUUUGGAAACCUGUGACGUCUUGGCAAGGCCUACCCUGUUUACCAUGGAAACUUGUCCUCGGGUAGAAUUACAGCGUAUGACCUGGUACCAGCAUAGAUGGAUGUUUGAUGCCUGCUAUUUUCUCUUCAUGUUCAUUUGGAAAUUAUAAAUCAUGGAACCAGAUCAAAUAACUUUGAUCUUUCCAGGUCAUUCAUUCAUUGUGGCAUACGGUCAUAUCUGCAUGGACUUGAAAACACAUUGGCAGAUGACAGAACAUAUGUUACGAUUAAAAUGUUCAGGUUUGAUUCUGGUUAAUCUGCAUAGGGUUGCCUGAGAAGGGCAUUGAUGUUUGUGAGCAUGGAUGGCUUAUCUGUUGUUUUUUUCGUAGAGAGUUCUAAAAUAUCGUAUGGCUUCGAAAUUACAUUGACGGGUUAUAUUUUUUUAAAUGAGAAAGAGAGAAAUUAACUAACCCUGCCUGCAAGCAGAUGCUAUCUGCUUUCUUCUAAAUAACUGUUUAAAACAUCUGGCCCAGGAUUGUGGAGGAGAUUUGUUUUUAUGUCUUUGGGAAAUAGUCUAGUUCGGGACCUCACCACUUCUUUCCUGGGUUACUGCAAUAGUUUUCUAACUUGAUCUCAGACUACAGCUCUUGCAUCCCACCCUCAAUCCGUCUGCCAUACUCCUACUGGCACUGUCAUUCAAAAAAAAGAUCUGAUCGCCCCAACCCAGUUGUUAAAACCCUCCAAAGGUUUUAGGAGAAAGUGCCAAAUUUGCAUGGCAUGCAAAGUUCUAUCUUAGCUUUUCCUCUUGAUUCACACUACUUUCACUCUACAUGCCGCAUACCACAUGCCACUCUCUCGGUUAUCACUCAGUUGUGCAUCUCUGCCUUUGAACCAGCUGCUCCCAUGCAUAUAAUGUCACCUCUGGAACACCGCACCCUUUCCAUGGCUUGCUCCUAUCCGUCUUUUAGCUCACAUGCCACUUUCUCCAGAAACCAACCCAAAUUUUCUCCUCUAGGAAAGGUGACCCCCACAAGCGGUCCAGUAAGACUUGUGUGUAUCUCUAGGAUGGCGGCCAUCACACAGGACUGCAUUUUAAUAGCCAUGGAAGUUCCAAGAGAUCACAUUUUACCCAGAGUCUAACAAAUAUCCUGGCAUAUAGAUGGUACUCAAUAAAAAUUGGCAAAAUUAUGAAUGAACAAAAGGGUGAACGAAGGCAUAAAAUUUUUGCAUUUACAUUAUACUUGUUUUUCUGGUUAUGCUUUCAGACAUUGAUAUUCUUGAAUUUGUCAUUUUGAAGGAAUCUAAGUGAUCAGAAUUAUUUUUUCCCUUCCUGCAAUUUUGAGAAAACAAAGUAGGUUUAAGAACCAAAUUUGUCUCAAAGUUUAGACAAGCUAAAAAAAAUUGAAGAAUGCUCUUUUCAUGGCUAGCACAGCCACAGCUCGUGGUCCCGAGGAGCAUCUGAAGCAUGGAGCAGCUCCAAAGCACUGGAUGCUGAUAAACUGACCAGUGUGUCUGCUCCCUGUCCAUCUACCAGUCUCCACAAGCUGACAGAACGUCUUCCCCUCAUUUUCUAAGGAACAGACUUAAGUAUGCUCUGACAAGAGAAGAACUACAGAAGAUUCGCAUGCAGCAGUUCGUUAAGAUUGACUGCGAGGCUGGAACUGAUGUAACGUACCCUGCUGGUUCAAUAGAUGUCACUAGCAUUGACAAGGCUGGAGAGGAUUUUUGUCUUAUCCACGACACCAAGGGUCGCUUGCCAUUCAUCAUAUUACACCUGAGGAAGCCAAGUACAAGUUAUGCAAAGUUAGGCAGAUCUUUGUGGGCACAAAAGGAAUCCCUCAUCGGAUGACCCAUGAUGCUCACACCAACCACUACCCUGAUUUCUCAUCAAAGUGAAUGAUGUGAUUCAGAUUGAUCUGGAAACUGGCAAGAUUACUGAUUUCAUCAAGUUUAACACUGGUAACCUGUAUAUGGUGACUGGAGGUGCUGACCUUGGAAGAAUUGGUGUGAUCACCAACAGAGAGAUAUCCUGGUUCUUUUUCUUCUUUUCUUUCUUUGGUGAGGAGGAUUGGCCUUGAGCUAACAUCUGUUGCCAAUCUUCCGCUUUUAGCUUGAGGAGGAUUGUUGCUGAACUGACAUCUGUGCCAAUCUUCCUCUAUUUUGUAUAUGGGACGCCACCACAGCAUGGCUUGAUGAGUAGUGUGUAGUUCUGCACCCAGGAUCUGAACCCACAAACCCUGGGCCACCAAAGUGGAGCGCAUGAACUUAACCACUACACCACUGGGCCGGCCCACCAUCCUGGUUCUUUUGAGGUAGUUCAUGUGAAAGAUGCCACAGGCAACAGCUUCGCCACCCAACUCUCCAACAUUUUUUUAUUGGCAAAGACAACAAAGCACGGAUUUCUCUUCCCCAAGGAAAAGGGAUCCUCCUCACCAUUGCCUAAGAGAAAGACGAGAGACUGGCCGCCAAACAGGGCAGUGGGUGAAAUGAUCCCUUGGUGACAUGACUGGACGGUCUUUGUACUUAAUUAAAGAUAGGAUGGAGUGAUUAAAAAAACAAAAAGAAUUGAAGAACGGCACAAACCACUCACCAACUAAACGUUAUCUAUGCAGUCAUCAUGCAAAUGAUGUCGUGACCCUUUGCACUGUGUGCAUUAUAUUGACCCACUCAGAGCAGCUCGAAUAAAAAUGCCAGCCUUAGCUUGUGACCAAUAAGUUGCCUCCAGUUAUUCAUAGAUAUUGGUAAUUUUUAGGAUAAAAUCAUUUUAAAUUCACUUAAAUACAAAAGAAUUAAUGUAAAUGAUCUUCUUCAGCACUUUUGGUAAGAAGUAUGUUAUUAACCUGAAUCAGCAGCAGGGGUUACAAAUCCCCUUCAGAUUUGAAAUAAUCUGCUUUCAGGAUUUGUGGCUUUUCCACUUGUUCUCUUUUAUUCCUGCAUGUGCAUUGACGAUUCAAAGAGCCCAAUUCUUGACUCCAGUGUCAAUAAACCCAACUCCAGUCCAGAACUUGUGCUUCCUGAUGUCUUCCACCCAGGCUCCAAGGGGUAUAAGCAGUGUUUGAAAUCAGCCUUCUAUGUAGAAAAACAGUCUACAGUGUGAUAUGAAGUGCAGCAGACUUUCUAGCCCCGAAAUACAUCCCACCCUGCCCCCCGCCCUUACUGGUCAAUGUCUGAAACCACUUUGACAAACACAAACACACAAUAAGACUAAGGUUUAAGAGAUAAUCCACUGACUUAAAUUCACACUGCCUAUUAUGUUUCUCUUUUUGCCUUCUUUGCCAGGAAUCUCAGAGCCAAUUUAUUGUUUAGUUUGCAGUAAAACUUUUCUACAUUCUGUUUCAGGUAGAAACCCCAUCUUUCUUCCUAUAUUUUAUGGAUUAAAUCUUUGCGUCCCCCCAAAGUUUGCAUGUUGAAGCUCUCACCCCCAAUGUGGCUGUAUUUGGAGAUGGGGGCCUCCAAGGAAAUAAUUAAGGUUAAAUGAGGUCAUAAGGGUGGGGCCCUGAUCCCAUAAGAUUAGUGUCCUUACAAGAAGAGACCCCAGGGAGCUAGUGUGCUCUCUUUCUCUCUCCCUUCUUCCCUCCCCCCCUUCCCCCCGACACAAGCAAUAAGGAACAGCCAUGUGAGAACACAGCAAGAAGGCAACCAGGAAGAGGGCUCUUGCCAAAAACCAAGUCAGCUGGAACCUUGAUCUUGGACUUCCAGCCCCCAGAACUGUGAGAAAAUAAACUUCCGUUGUUUCAGCCGCCCAGCCUCCAGAGAUUUGCCAUGGCGGCCCAAGCCGACUAUUACACACAGUAUUCCCCCCUAUCCGUGGUUUCACUUUCUGCAGUUUCGGUUAACUUGUGGUCCAAAAAUAUUAAAUGGUAAAUUCCAGAAACAACAAGUUUUAAAGAAGUUUUAAAUACCAUGCUGUUCUGAAUAGCAUGAUGAAAUCUUGCACCAUCUCGUUCUGUCCCACCCAGGAUGUGAACCAUCCCUUUGUCCAGGGUGUCCAUGCUGUAUGCGCCACCUGCCUGUUAGUCACUCAGUAGCCGUCUGGGUUGUCAGAUCAGCUGUCGCGGUAUCACAGUGCUUGUGUUCAAGUAGCCCUUACUUUCCUUAAUAAUGCCCCAAAGUGCAAGAGCAGUGAUGCUGGCAGUUUGGAUAUGCCAAAGAGAAGUCGUAAAGGUACCUCCUUUAAGUGAAAAUGUGAAAGUUCUCGACUUAACAUGGAAAGGGAAAAGAUCAUAUGCUGAGGUUGCUAAGAUCUCUGGUAACUUUUAUUACAGUAUAUUGUUACAAUUGUUCCAUUUUAUUAUUAGUUAUUGUUGUUAAUCUCUUAUUGUGCCUAAUUUAUAAAUUAAACUCUAUCAUAGAUGUGUAUGUAUAGGAAAACACCGUACGUAUAGGGUCCGGUCUUAUCCGCAGUUUCAGGCAUCCACUGGGGGUCUUGGAAGGUGUCCCCCAAGGACAAGGGGCCUGCUGUACAUGAUCCUGUCCUCUCCCUUUCUCUGACCCUUUACUGCUUACCUGGCGACCAGUCCCUAAGCUCUGGCUGCCGCAAACUCGGCUGUGCCACAUUUCCCACUAUCCAGCUACCAGUCACAAAAACUUUGAAAAAAUAUUCCAUAAACUGAAUGAAAUUAAGAAAAGUAAUAACUAAGCAUAAUAGUUAUUGGACUACACUCAAUCUAACUUGCAACCUUAAAAUUAACUUUGUCUAUUGUUUUUUAAAGAGCAUCCUCUAUAAUUUGAUAAACAGCAAUGAUAACUUUUUCCCUUCUUAUACAUUAGUGUCCAGUUUUAUAAGUGGUGUUUCUGUAAAAAUGACAAAAUUAACAAGUGUGCUACUGUGACUUGAUUUCACUGGAUGCUGUGCCCUUAUUGAACAGUGAAAACAACCUCACUCCCACUCUGGUUCCUUUGUUUUCAUGUUUUUCUCUUUUUUCUAAUCCUUAAUAUGACCCACAACCCGGUCCCACUGCUCCAUUCUCAGGCCUUCUCUCCUAAUACAUUGUCAACAAAUGAUCUCAAUAUUGCCUAUUCCCCUGCUGUCAUUCAGCUUAAUUUGUGAAAACUAUUUUUUCUCGUAAGACGUACUCCAGAUAGCUGUCUUAUAAACUUUAUGAACUGUCAGAUCUUCUAAGGGAAGCAUAGAUGUUUAGAGCUAUAACAAGGCUAAUAAAGUUCAAUUAAUAGUUUUUGUGUCAAGAAAAAAAUCAUUGAUUAAGAUAGUAAGUUUCCACUACAGCUCACAUGCUUAAAACUUUCUUUAAAAGUUCUCCUUCUGGGGCCAGCCCGGUGGCACAGUGGUUAAGUUUGCACAUUCCGCUUCUCAGCAGCCUGGGGUUCACCAGUUUGAAUCCUGGGUGUGGACAUGGCACCGCUUGGCACGCCAUGCUGCGGUAGGUGUCCCACAUAUAAAAAAAAAAAAGUAGAGGAAGGUGGGCACGGAUGUUAGUUCAGGGCCAGGCUUCCUCAGCAAAAAAAGAGGAGGACUGGCAGUAGUUAGCUCGGGACUAAUCUUCCUCAAAAAAAAAAAAAAGAAAGAAAGAAACUGAUAUAUAAUAAUGUACACUUGAAAUUACACAAUGUUAUAAACCAAUAAGACCUCAAUAAAAUAAUUUUUAAAAAAAAGUUCUCCUUCUUUAUCCAUUCAUCUGUUGAUGGGCACUUGGGUUGCUUCCCAGUCUUGGCUGUUGUGAAUAAUGCUGCAAUGAACACAGGGGUGUUUAUAUAUUUUUGAAUUAGUGUUUUCAUGUUCUUUGGAUAUACAAUGGCAUACUACUCAGCCAUAAAAAAGACAAAAUCAUGCCAUUCAUGACAACAUGGAUGGACCUUGAGUGUAUUAUGUUAAGUGAAAUAAGCCAGAUAGAGAAAGACAAAAACCAUAUGAUUUCACUCGUGUGGAAAAUGAACAAACACGUAGAUAAGGAGAACAGAUUGGUA